rnacentral:rRNA from 1 species
UUUAUGGAGAGUUUGAUCCUGGCUCAGGAUGAACGCUGGCGGCGUGCCUAAUACAUGCAAGUCGAGCGAACAGAUAAGGAGCUUGCUCCUUUGACGUUAGCGGCGGACGGGUGAGUAACACGUGGAUAACCUACCUAUAAGACUGGGAUAACUUCGGGAAACCGGAGCUAAUACCGGAUAAGAUUUUGAACCGCAUAGUUCAAUAGUGAAAGACGGCCUUGCUGUCACUUAUAGAUGGAUCCGCGCCGUAUUAGCUAGUUGGUAAGGUAACGGCUUACCAAGGCAACGAUACGUAGCCGACCUGAGAGGGUGAUCGGCCACACUGGAACUGAGACACGGUCCAGACUCCUACGGGAGGCAGCAGUAGGGAAUCUUCCGCAAUGGGCGAAAGCCUGACGGAGCAACGCCGCGUGAGUGAUGAAGGUCUUCGGAUCGUAAAACUCUGUUAUCAGGGAAGAACAAACGUGUAAGUAACUGUGCACGUCUUGACGGUACC